rnacentral:rRNA from 1 species
AUUGAACGCUGGCGGCAUGCCUUACACAUGCAAGUCGAACGGCAGCACGGGGCAACCUGGUGGCGAGUGGCGAACGGGUGAGUAAUGCAUCGGAACGUACCUCUCAGUGGGGGAUAACGUAGCGAAAGUUACGCUAAUACCGCAUAUUCUGUGAGCAGGAAAGCAGGGGAUCGCAAGACCUUGCGCUGAUUGAGCGGCCGAUGUCAGAUUAGCUAGCUGGUGAGGUAAAGGCUCACCAAGGCGACGAUCUGUAGCGGGUCUGAGAGGAUGAUCCGCCACACUGGAACUGAGACACGGUCCAGACUCCUACGGGAGGCAGCAGUGGGGAAUUUUGGACAAUGGGGGCAACCCUAAUCCAGCCAUGCCGCGUGAGUGAAGAAGGCCUUCGGGUUGUAAAGCUCUUUCGGCCGGGAAGAAAUCGUAUGGGUUAAUACCCUGUGCGGAUGACGGUACCGGCAUAAGAAGCACCGGCUAACUACGUGCCAGCCGCCGCAGUAA